UACGUAGGGUGCAAGCGUUAUCCGGAAUUACUGGGCGUAAAGAGCGCGCAGGCGGUCGAUUUAGUCGCGUGUGAAAGCCCCCGGCUCAACUGGGGAGGGUCACGCGAUACUGAUCGACUCGAAGGCAGGAGAGGGUAGUGGAAUUCCCGGUGUAGUGGUGAAAUGCGUAGAUAUCGGGAGGAACACCAGUGGCGAAGGCGACUACCUGGCCUGUUCUUGACGCUGAGGCGCGAAAGCUAGGGGAGCAAACGGG
rnacentral:rRNA from 1 species